GAGCCAUAAGGAUUAGAAUACAGGAACACAGAUCACGAAUUAGAAAAGGAAACACAGAAUCCACACUAUACUUACACUUUAAAGACAACACUCAUUCCUGUAACGACCUUAAGUACCUUGCCUUAGAAAAACUACAGACUCCAAUUAACACUGACAUCAAGAAGUUACUCCUCUGCAGGGAGGCUUUUUGGAUCCACAAAUUGAAGACCUUAACCCCACAAGGCCUAAAUGAUAGGCUAGAUCUCACCUGCUUCUUAUAAUGGGAUAAAAAAAUACUUAAGUCUUUACAGAACUACUACUGAAUGCUCGCAACUUGAGGUAGAAUACUACAUGUAAGGAUCCUCCAAGGACAUAAAUAAGACAGCAGAGCAGCAAACAGAGGGAACUCCAGGAUUACCUGAAGAAGGUCUACCUGAAGAAGGUCACCGAAACUGGAUGCAUACCCGGGAGACCAGUCGUUACUAUUGACAUGGAACUUUGUUGCUAUUGAUAUGGAACUUUGAUUUACUAUUGACAUGGAACUUUGAUUUACUUUGAAUGAUCGAAUUUGAAGAAGAGUACUACAAACCUUGAGAACACUAUCAAGAUUAUAUUUGUUAAAAUUGGACAUUGAAAUAUGUACUUAUCUGUACAGUUGGAAUAUAUAAAUUGAUAUUACAGUCAUAAUAUAUGUGAUUAUAUCACUUGAGGAAA